AUUGAACGCUGGCGGCAUGCUUUACACAUGCAAGUCGAACGGUAACAGGCCGCAAGGUGCUGACGAGUGGCGAACGGGUGAGUAAUGCAUCGGAACGUGCCCAGUCGUGGGGGAUAACGCAGCGAAAGCUGUGCUAAUACCGCAUACGAUCUGUGGAUGAAAGCAGGGGACCGAAAGGCCUCGCGCGAUUGGAGCGGCCGAUGUCAGAUUAGGUAGUUGGUGGGGUAAAGGCUCACCAAGCCAACGAUCUGUAGCUGGUCUGAGAGGACGACCAGCCACACUGGGACUGAGACACGGCCCAGACUCCUACGGGAGGCAGCAGUGGGGAAUUUUGGACAAUGGGCGCAAGCCUGAUCCAGCAAUGCCGCGUGCAGGAAGAAGGCCUUCGGGUUGUAAACUGCUUUUGUACGGAGCGAAAAGGCUCUCUCUAAUACAGGGGGCUCAUGACGGUACCGUAAGAAUAAGCACCGGCUAACUACGUGCCAGCCGCCGCCGUAAUAC
rnacentral:rRNA from 1 species